AACGAACGCUGGCGGCAGGCUUAACACAUGCAAGUCGAACGCGCCCUUCGGGGUGAGUGGCAGACGGGUGAGUAACGCGUGGGAACAUACCCAUCGGAUCGGAAUAACUGGGGGAAACUUCAGCUAAGACCGGAUACGCCCUUCGGGGGAAUGAUUUAUCGCCGAUGGAUUGGCCCGCGUCCGAUUAGCUAGUUGGUGUUGGUAAUGGCUCACCAAGGCGACGAUCGGUAGCUGGUCUGAGAGGAUGGCCAGCCACAUUGGGACUGAGACACGGCCCAAACUCCUACGGGAGGCAGCAGUGGGGAAUAUUGGACAAUGGGCGCAAGCCUGAUCCAGCCAUGCCGCGUGAGUGAUGACGGCCUUAGGGUUGUAAAGCUCUUUCGCACGCGACGAUAAUGACGGUAGCGUGAGAAGAAGCCCCGGCUAACUUCGUGCCAGCCGCCGCAGUAACAC
rnacentral:rRNA from 1 species